UACGAAGGGGGCUAGCGUUGCUCGGAAUCACUGGGCGUAAAGGGUGCGUAGGCGGGUCUUUAAGUCAGGGGUGAAAUCCUGGAGCUCAACUCCAGAACUGCCCUUGAUACUGAGGAUCUUGAGUUCGGGAGAGGUGAGUGGAACUGCGAGUGUAGAGGUGAAAUUCGUAGAUAUUCGCAAGAACACCAGUGGCGAAGGCGGCUCACUGGCCCGAUACUGACGCUGAGGCACGAAAGCUAGGGGAGCAAACAGG
rnacentral:rRNA from 1 species